AAAUGCGUAUAAGACUGAGCAAUGGCGAACCAGAAAAGCCACUAGUGAUCCAUGUAGGUCGUAUUGGCGUAGAAAAGAGUUUGGAGCUUCUAAAAAGUGUAAUGGACAAAUUACCUGAAGCUCGGAUUGCUUUC